CGUGUAGGCGGGAGAUCAAGUCAGAUGUGAAAUACCGGGGCUCAACCCCGGGGCUGCAUUUGAAACUGAUUUUCUUGAGUGCUGGAGAGGAAAGCGGAAUUCCUAGUGUAGCGGUGAAAUGCGUAGAUAUUAGGAGGAACACCAGUGGCGAAGGCGGCUUUCUGGACAGUAACUGACGCUGAGGCGCGAAAGCGUGGGGAGCAAACA
rnacentral:rRNA from 1 species